GAUGAACGCUAGCGGGAGGCCUAACACAUGCAAGCCGAGCGGUAGAGUCUCUUCGGAGACUUGAGAGGGGCGGACGGGGGCGGAACACGGGGGCAUCCUUCCUUUUUUUGGGGGAUAGGCGUUCGAAGGGAAGAUUAAUAACCCAUAAAAUACUUGAGGGCAUCAUCUGGUAUUGAAAAAUCCUGGGGGAAGAGAUGGGCACGCGCAAGAUUAGAUAGUUGGUGAGGUAACGGCUUACCAAGUCAGCGAUCCUUAGGGGGGCUGAGAGGGUGAUCCCCCACACUGGUACUGAGACACGGACCAGACUCCUACGGGAGGCAGCAGUGAGGAAUAUUGGACAAUGGGUGAGAGCCUGAUCCAGCCAUCCCGCGUGAAGGACGACGGCCCUAUGGGUUGUAAACUUCUUUUGUAUAGGGAUAAACCUAGAUACGUGUAUCUAGCUGAAGGUACUAUACGAAUAAGCACCGGCUAACUCCGUG
rnacentral:rRNA from 1 species